UACGUAGGGGGCGAGCGUUGUCCGGAUUUACUGGGCGUAAAGGGUGAGUAGGCGGUUAUAUAUGUCAGGUGUAAAAGGCUAUGGCUUAACCAUGGUUAGCACUUGAAACUGUAUGACUUGAGUGCAGGAGAGGUAAGUGGAAUUCCUAGUGUAGCGGUGAAAUGCGUAGAUAUUAGGAGGAACACCAGUGGCGAAGGCGACUUACUGGACUGUAACUGACGCUGAGUCACGAAAGCGUGGGUAGCAAACAGGAUUAGAUACCCCUGUAGU
rnacentral:rRNA from 1 species